UACGUAGGGGGCUAGCGUUGUCCGGAAUCAUUGGGCGUAAAGGGCGCGUAGGCGGCCCGGUAAGUAGGGGGUGAAAUCCUGCGGCUUAACCGCAGGGCUGCCUUCUAAACUGUCGGGCUCGAGCACGGUAGAGGCAGAUGGAAUUCCCGGUGUAGCGGUGGAAUGCGUAGAGAUCGGGAAGAACAUCAGUGGCGAAGGCGGUCUGCUGGGCCGUUGCUGACGCUGAGGCGCGAAAGCGUGGGGAGCAAACAGG
rnacentral:rRNA from 1 species